AUCCCUUUGUGGUUCAUAAGUGUGAUGACUGGGUGUUCAUGCUCUUGUGUGAGAUAUACUCCCUCAAACCUUGUUAGGAUGUUGACACAGUACCUCUCUGAUG